GGAGACGUAUCGAAGAGGUCAUAACGAGCCGCACUCGAAAUGCGGUAGCCCUUCGGGGUACGCGGGUUCGAAUCCCGCCGUCUCCG
rnacentral:tRNA from 1 species